rnacentral:rRNA from 1 species
UACGGAGGGAGCUAGCGUUGUUCGGAAUUACUGGGCGUAAAGCGCACGUAGGCAGUCUUUUAAGUCAGGGGUGAAAUCCCGGGGCUCAACCCCGGAACUGCCCUUGAAACUGGGAAGCUAGAAUCUUGGAGAGGCGAGUGGAAUUCCGAGUGUAGAGGUGAAAUUCGUAGAUAUUCGGAAGAACACCAGUGGCGAAGGCGACUCGCUGGACAAGUAUUGACGAUGAGGUGCGAAAGCGUGGGGAGCAAACAGG